GCCCCUGCCAGCGCUUGCCCAGGUCAAAGGCAGGGUGCGACCAGCGCUCGUACCGCCCUCCGGAGGCGGGAGCGCAGGUUCGAAUCCUGCCGGGGGCA
rnacentral:tRNA from 1 species